CUUGGUUGGGAAGUCCUAGUGCCAGCAGCCGCGGUAAUUCCAGCUCCAAUAGCGUAUAUUAAAGUUGUUGCAGUUAAAAAGCUCGUAGUUGAAUUUCGGGAUUGACUCGWUGGUCGUGCCUYAAGGGGUAUGRACUGUCGUUGUUGAUUUCUCACCUUCUGGAGAAGCUCGAUGUCCUUAAUUGGAUGUCUUGUGGAACCUGGUCCUUUA
rnacentral:rRNA from 1 species